rnacentral:rRNA from 1 species
UUAAGCAUAUCAAUAAGCGGAGGAAAAGAAACCAACAGGGAUUGCCUCAGUAGCGGCGAGUGAAGCGGCAAAAGCUCAAAUUUGAAAUCUGGCGUCUUUGGCGUCCGAGUUGUAAUUUGAAGAAGGUAUCUUUGGGCCCGGCUCUUGUCUAUGUUCCUUGGAACAGGACGUCACAGAGGGUGAGAAUCCCGUGCGAUGAGAUGACCCGGGUCUGUGUAAAGUUCCUUCGACGAGUCGAGUUGUUUGGGAAUGCAGCUCUAAGUGGGUGGUAAAUUCCAUCUAAAGCUAAAUAUUGGCGAGAGACCGAUAGCGAACAAGUACAGUGAUGGAAAGAUGAAAAGAACUUUGAAAAGAGAGUGAAAAAGUACGUGAAAUUGUUGAAAGGGAAGGGCUUGAGAUCAGACUUGGUAUUUUGCAUGCUGCUCUCUCGGGGGCGGCCGCUGCGGUUUACCGGGCCAGCAUCGGUUUGGAGCGGCAGGAUAAUGGCGGAGGAAUGUGGCACGGCUUCUGCUGUGUGUUAUAGCCUCUGACGAUGCUGCCAGCCUAGACCGAGGACUGCGGUUUUUAACCUAGGAUGUUGGCAUAAUGAUCUUAAGUCGCCCGUCUUGA